GAUGAACGCUAGCGAUAGGCCUAACACAUGCAAGUCGAGGGGCAGCAUAGAGUAGCAAUACUUUGAUGGCGACCGGCGCACGGGUGAGUAACACGUAUGCAACCUACCUACAUCAGGGGAAUAACCCGGAGAAAUUCGUACUAAAACCGCAUAAUACAGGGAUGCCGCAUGGCAAUAUUUGUUAAAGAUUUAUCGGAUGUAGAUGGGCAUGCGUUCCAUUAGCUAGUUGGUAAGGUAACGGCUUACCAAGGCAACGAUGGAUAGGGGAACUGCGAUGUUGGGCGCCCACACCAAAACUGAGCGAGAGACAAGACACCUACGGGAGGGAGCAGUGAGAAAUAUUGGUAAAUGGACAAGAGUCGGAACCAGCCACAUCGCGGGAAGGAAGACUGUCCUACGGGUUGUAAUCUUCUUUUGUACAGGAAUAAAAGACAUUACGUUUAAUGUAUUGCAUGUACUGUACGAAUAAGCAUCGGCUAACUCCGUGCCAGCCGCCGCCGUAA
rnacentral:rRNA from 1 species